AGACAGCAGCCGCCGCGGUAAUACGGAGGGGGCUAGCGUUGUUCGGAAUUACUGGGCGUAAAGCGCACGUAGGCGGCUUGGUAAGUUAGAGGUGAAAGCCUGGAGCUCAACUCCAGAAUUGCCUUUAAGACUGCCGAGCUAGCAGGUGAGAGAGGUAAGCGGAAUUCCGAGUGUAGAGGUGAAAUUCGUAGAUAUUCGGAAGAACACCAGUGGCGAAGGCGGCUUACUGGCUCAUACUGGACGCUGAGGUGCGAAAGCGUGGGGAGCAAACAGGAUUAGAUACCCCGGUAGUCCCUGUCUCUUAUAC
rnacentral:rRNA from 1 species